AUUUUGAGAAAGUUCUCGGAUCAUGGUCAGCUGAUGAUUGACAAACAUCAGCUCCAAAACAAAACACAUAAACAAAUACAUACUUGCAUAGCCUAUACGUUUGCAGAAAUCUAGUAUAUUUUACAUUACUAUCCUUGAUAUCAUAUUUUCAGACUCACGCAGAUUUUACGAUACACGGCAGAAAUUAUUCUUAUGACGUACUUUAAUUUCUAUGGCCUGUUUCCUGCUUCCGGAAGUCUCGUGUUCGCAGUGGACAGAUCCGCCUUUAACCUGCGCGAGCGUCGCAGUGAUCUGCUGUAGAUCUCAAUCAUGGCCUCCUCAAGCACCGAGGUAGUGACAAAAGGUAACUUUCUGUCAUUAGGAAUGAUUCGAGAUUACAUUUCAAUGAAUUAAUUGUGUAUCUUAAGUAGACACACGUGAAUAUUACCUCCUUUUGUACUUAAGUUUUACUUUCGAUUUGAACGCUUUCUUCGUUGUUGAUUCCAUGUCGUAUUGUCAUUUCAUAAAAAUAUAAAAAAUAAAUAAUAAUUUUAGAGGAACGUUUUAAUGCAAUUGCAAAUAUUAUGUAUGAAGUAUGUUUUGUCACUGUUCAGUCUCCUGUGUAAAGCUUAAACGAUUCGGAUGCGAGCUGAACUCUCCCUGUUUCUCUGCUGACGUCACUCUCCUUUUCCUCUCCAUUUUGUAAUAUUCCUGUUGCUCCGCCUUUUUGAAAACGAAAGUAUUUUCUCGCUUUCAGCUGACGACAGACAUUUCGACGCUCGAGGUCAGAUCCAAAAAAAUAUUGUGUAUUCCAGGGUUAUUUUUUUCUGUGAAAACCCCUCUAAGGCCAAAGGAGAUAAUGGUGUAAGGAUCCACCCACCGGCCCAAGAAGCAGAGUCCAGCGACCUGGUUGAAGUUCCUUCUGCUUGAAGUAAACUUAUUCCAAGAAAUGGAUAACCAUCGCAAACUGUCUGAAUCCAGUGAUGACAGCGAUGCUUCAGAUAAGAGUAUUGAACUUCCUCCUUCAUUUAACUGUGCUGGGAAUAAACCAGAGGAGAUACUACAGUGGAAACGUAAAACUUUUGAUACAUUCAAAAGUACCAUUGAGGAACUAAAGUCAGAAUAUGAUAGAAAUCAUCCAACACUCAUUGGUCAAAUAAAGAAACUGAAGGACAUCACUGAUGAGAUUGAAUCUGUGCACAAGAGCGCUACAGUGGGCAGUUUGGUUGGAUCAACAUUUGGAGCAGUUGGAGGAAUCACAGCACUAGCGGGUCUGGCUUUACCUCCAUUCAAAUUAGGAGCUUCUUUGUCUCUUAUUACUGUUGGAGCUGUUGCUGGAGUAACUGGAGGAGCAGGGACGUGCACAGGGGGGUUGCUCAGGUUGCCCGGGCAACUGCCCAUAUGCCCUUCUCGACUCACGUUGCCCUUCCGAGGUGGAAAUAAAAUAAAUAAAAAAAAUCGUACAAUGGAUACAGAAUUUCACGUAGGCCUAGAUAAAAAAAAAAUAAUAAUAAAAAAAAAUCGCAAAGCCUCAUUCACUUCCAUAUUCGGGCACCCGUCUGAAAGUGAAAGUCGGUAGGGGAAGGGCAAACUCUCUUUACGUGGCUGCAGCGCUGCACGCGACCGGCACCUGAGCUGAGCCUGCAUGAGCGGCCCUAGAAGGAGAUUGUCGCGGUUGUCGGGUGAGACGACUCAACGUUGUCGGAAAAGUAAUAGUAAGGUUAUAAUCGUUAACGAAAACGAACGAAAAAACGAAAACUAGUUGGGAAAAAAAAUUGUGUUAACUGAAAUAAAAAUAAAAACGAGGCAUUACA
ensembl:lncRNA